AUCGCUUCUCGGCCUUUUGGCUAAGAUCAAGUGUAGUGUCUGUUCUUAUCAGCUUAAUAUGUGAUAAGUCUUCUGAGGACAAUAUAUGAAGGGGAUUUGAGGGCCUCGGAUAUGGAAUACAAGCUUGCUGGCUGCACCUAACAAGGCCUCCCCAGUCCAAGAGCGUCCAGCGCAGGGUUAGUUUUCCCCAUC